UGACAGUGAUUAGAAUCUUACCUGCGCUUCUGAUUGACCCUUGAAAUGGAAAUACCAAUUCGUGGGUGCAUUUCUUGAUAUGAGCCA
rfam:Hordeum vulgare subsp. vulgare, WGS project CAJW01000000 data, contig: morex_contig_135335